rnacentral:rRNA from 1 species
GGGUUGUGAGGUUAAGCGACUAAGCGUACACGGUGGCAUGCCCUGGCAGUCAGAGGCGAUGAAGGACGUGCUAAUCUGCGAAAAGCGU